GGUAUAUUAACCGUGCAAAGGUAGCAUAAUAAAUAGUUUUUUAAUUGAAAGCUGGAAUGAAGGGUCGGAUGAGAAAAUAACUGUCUCUACUUAAAUUUUUUAGAAUUUUAUUUUUAAGUAAAAAAGCUUAAAUUUGAAUAGAAGACGAGAAGACCCUAUAGAGUUUUAUUUAUGUUUAUAGAAAUUAUUUUUAGAAUUUAGUAUAAGAUCUAUAAAAAUGAAUUUGAUUGGGGUGAUUAAAAAAUUGAAUGAACUUUUUUUAUAUUUAAACAUUGAUUUAUGAAUAAAUGAUCCUUAUAUUAAGAUUAAAAGAAAAAAUUACCUUAGGGAUAACAGCGUAAUUUUCCUUAAGAGUUCGAAUCGAAAGGAGAGUUUGCGACCUCGAUGUUGGAUUAAAAUAAAAUUUUGGUGUAGAAGCUAAAG
rnacentral:rRNA from 1 species